rnacentral:rRNA from 1 species
AUUGAACGCUGGCGGCAUGCCUUACACAUGCAAGUCGAACGGCAGCACGGACUUCGGUCUGGUGGCGAGUGGCGAACGGGUGAGUAAUAUAUCGGAACAUACCCUAGAGUGGGGGAUAACGUAGCGAAAGUUACGCUAAUACCGCAUACGAACUAAGGUUGAAAGCGGGGGAUCUUCGGACCUCGUGCUCAUGGAGUGGCCGAUAUCUGAUUAGCUAGUUGGUGAGGUAAAGGCUCACCAAGGCGACGAUCAGUAGCUGGUUUGAGAGAACGACCAGCCACACUGGAACUGAGACACGGUCCAGACUCCUACGGGAGGCAGCAGUGGGGAAUUUUGGACAAUGGGGGCGAACCCUGAUCCAGCAAUGCCGCGUGAGUGAAGAAGGCCUUCGGUU